rnacentral:rRNA from 1 species
CGGAUUGUAGUCUGCAACCCGACUACAUGAAGCCGGAAUCGCUAGUAAUCGCGGAUCAGAAUGCCGCGGUGAAUACGUUCCCGGGUCUUGUACACACCGCCCGUCACACCAUGGGAGUCGGAAAUGCCCGAAGUCUGUGACCCAACCGCAAGGAGGGAGCAGCCGAAGGCAGGUCGGAUGACUGGGGUGAAGUCGUAACAAGGUAAC